UGGGGAAUAUUGGACAAUGGGCGAAAGCCUGAUCCAGCAACGCCGCGUGGAGGAUGAAGAAUUUCGGUUCGUAAACUCCUUUCGACCGAGAUGAAUACCCCGAGAUUUAAUACGUUUCGGGACUGACAGUAUCGAGCGAAGAAGCCCCGGCUAUCUCUGUGCCAGCAGCCGCGGUAAUACAGGGGGGGCAAGCGUUGUUCGGAAUUACUGGGCGUAAAGGGUUCGUAGGCGGCGAUUUAAGUCAGAGGUGAAAGCCCGGGGCUCAACCCCGGAAUAGCCUUUGAGACUGGAUUGCUUGAAUCUUGGAGAGGCGGGUGGAAUUCCGAGUGUAGAGGUGAAAUUCGUAGAUAUUCGGAAGAACACCAGUGGCGAAGGCGGCCCGCUGGACAAGUAUUGACGCUGAGGUGCGAAAGCGUGGGGAGCAAA
rnacentral:rRNA from 1 species